rnacentral:tRNA from 1 species
CCCGGUUAGUUCAGUUGGUUAGAACGCCACAACUUAUUAAAAUCGUGGAAACGCGGGUUCAAUUCCUGCACUGGGCU